AGCGAACGUUUGCGGCGGGCCUAACACAUGCAAGUCGAACGCACUAGCAAUAGUGAGUGGCGCACGGGUGCGUAACACGUGGGUAAUCAACCCUUCAGCUUGGGAUAACGACUUGAAAGGGUCGCUAAUACCGGAUACGGCGCGGGAGGCUUCGGCUUCUCACGAGAAAGCCUCGCAAGGGGCACUGAAGGACGAGCCUGCGGCCCAUCAGCUAGUUGGUGAGGUAGGAGCUCACCAAGGCGAAGACGGGUAGCUGGUCUGAGAGGAUGAUCAGCCACACUGGAACUGAGACACGGUCCAGACUCCUACGGGAGGCAGCAGUGGGGAAUAUUGCGCAAUGGGCGAAAGCCUGACGCAGCCACGCCGCGUGAGCGAUGAAGGCCUUCGGGUCGUAAAGCUCUGUGGGGAGAGACGAAGAAAGCCCGUGAAGAGCGGGCCUUGACGGUAUCUCCUUAGCAAGCACCGGCUAACUCCGUGCCAGCAGCCGCGGUAC
rnacentral:rRNA from 1 species